UACAGCUGAGCAGGAUGUUUUCAGUUUCCACUAACUGUGGACACUAGCAUCAUCAUCAUCAUCAUCUUCAGGAUUCAUGAGAGAGACGGACCACAGUCACACUCACAUCUUUCAGCUCUCGUCCUGGAUUUGGUGGGAUCUGAGUGGAUCGUCUGUGGUGUGAUGAUGAUGAUGAUGAUGUUUUGGACAACAGAGUGGAUUCGUUUCAGAUGUGUUCAUCAGCGUCUGUCAGUUCUUUACUCAACUCUUCAUCGCGUGUGUCUAUUAGCAAAUUAAGCUUUAUGCUAAUCAUUCUGUAAUUAUGUUCACCUGUUUGGCCACGCAUGACUGUAAUAUUAGUCAUUUAGGACAUUGAUGUACUGUUUCUGUUGAUUUACACAUGUGAUAUUUUCAAAUAAUGGACCAAAAACGUAAAAGAAGACGUAUUUUAAUGGCCUGUGAUGACUUUUGUGCGAUGUUUUCCUGCACAAAGGGCUUCUAAACAUCACCUGAUCUUCAUCGAUGCAGAUGAGGAUCAGAUUUCAGGAGAUUCUGUCCCGUCUCCACAGGAAGUGAAGUCAAACCAUCUGAUUGGCUGUUUCCUGUUCAGCCCUGAUUGAACUGAUUUUGGUUUCUGUUGUGUGUGAAGCUGCUGCCUGUGACUUUCUUCUGUCGUAUCUGGAGGACAUGGAUACAAUCCACAGACCUUCACAGUAUUUGCACAGUUAUAAACAGUGACUGUUUGAGUACAUGCACAGCACGUACCCAUGUGUCAUUACUGAGACGUGUUUUAGUUCCUCAUGUGUUGGGUUUGGUUUGUGUGCUGUCAGGGUUUUUUUCACUGAUGUGGUUGGACCUCAGAUGUUACACCCAUCAACAGUCCUGAUUUUUAACUGUUUUGAGUGACGGAACCAAAACGGCAUGUUCUUUACCUUUAACUGGAUCAUUUGUUGUUAAAUGUGAAGUAGUUGUGUCCCAACAGUUCAGUGUCACCCAAACCUCCAGCUGUAUUGUGAGAUAUAAGUCAAGCUUCAGAUUCAAGCAUUCACUACGUGGAUGUUUUGGAUAAAUUUGGCUAAACGAACAAACCCUCAGUGCAGCAGUAGAGGUCGACUGAUAGUGGAUGUUAACUGUGGGAUAAUAAAGUAGAGAAACAGGCCACCAAGUGAGCAACUGGAUGUUGAAAAGACAUCGAACUGAUAUCAAAAUCGUGACAUUUGAUGUAAACUGAACAUCUAACAUAUUGGCCUACAUAUACAUUAAACCAGUUUCAGUGUGGCGUUAACUUCCUAUUUUCAUCUAAUGGAAGAAACUGCCGUCCAAACUGAAUUUAAAAUGAUGUUACAGCGUCUUGAUCAAGUCUUGACUAAUAUUUGAUGUUAAAUUGAUAUGAAGCUGUAACUAAUUAAUUAGUUAACUAAUUAAGCUUCCACUCAGAGUGAAAUCGUGCUGAUCUAUAUUACUAAUAAUUACACUGCAAAAAAUAAUUAGUAAAUAAUGGCAAUUUAUGUUUUUACAUUACUUCAACUCAGCAAAAUUAGUUGAGCAAUUUCAACCUAAAGUUCAGUUGCUGCCUUGCAUUUUUAAGUUGUCAACAAUAACAAUAAUGACUUGAUCAUGAAAAUAGUUUUGGAAUUAUUAAAUUAAUAUAAAAAAAAAAACAAUACACAAAUACACAAAGUAACAGUUUACCAAACUCCAAAUAACAUAAAACCGUUGAAAACCAAGCGCUUUAAAUAAGUCCAGCAACAUAUCUUUUUUUUAUGUGAUGAUAACAUUUAUUGUAUGCAUAUCAUGGCUUUUUUUCUGUAAAUGUUUAAAAUUCCCCAUGGUUUGAAAAAUGGAUGAAUGUUUAAAAUCUGGCUUUGUGUAUCUGCGUACUACCAACAGUUAAACACACACACACACAAUUUGCACAGGUUAAAUUCUGUAAAACCUAUCUAUUGGUCGACCUCUAUGCAGCAGCACACUAUUUAUAUAUAAAUGACCACAGGUUUAACUCAACAGUAUUAGUUUGCUUUCCUAUGAAACAGAUGCUAAAAAACAAUUUGUUAUACUGUCAAGACAACAUAAAACAAGCCUAAUGGUCUAAUGGUCAGCUCGGUCAUGCUAUAAUUGUUUUUGCUGAAUGAGUUUCUGAGUCGGUCACCAACAACACAGUUUUAUCAUUACUGGCAGUACUCUCGUAAACAGUGAAGCUUUUGUCAGCAACAACUUAACCAAGCAUUGAUAACUUUGACAAGUUUUACUGGGUUUGCCGUGAGGAACUUGACAGAGCUCAGAGCUGAAGCUGAAGGUGGCUGAUGGGGUCUUGCUCACAUGAUGUUUUGGGGUGCAUCAGCCAGAUUUAGGACAUUUUAGACAAUGUUUACAGUCAUGAUAUUUUUUGAGCCACACAUGAUUAUAAUUAAACAUUGUGGAUCCUCUAAACACACCCCGAUCUGCUUGAGUAGUUUGAAUAUGUUCUAUUCAGAUAAAGUGGAUGAAUUCUAGUUUUGUGGACUUGUUCACGAGGUAGUAUUUUUUAACCAUAGUUUGAUGGACCUUUAAUAUAGAUUAUAAUAUGUUUCCGACCAUAUAAU
rnacentral:lncRNA from 1 species